rnacentral:rRNA from 1 species
CCCGAAACCACAUGAGCUAAUUAGCUCAAGAUUUUAGUAAGUGUAUGUUGCAGAAUAUAUAAAGAGGGUUAAUUAGGGGUGAUAGGCCUCUCACGUAUGGUGAUAUCUUGAUUCUUCGAAAGGUUUAGUAUAAGGCCAGACCUAGAAUGACAAGGUUUUAGGUUAUUAUCAAUUUUAAUUAUUGUAUAACAUAGAUAUAACUAUUGGUGAAUAUUAAUAAAACUAUAUCAUUUAAAGUUUUAUAGUAUCUAGGGGAUGAUAAUGAAAUAUUCAUCUUAUUCAUAAUGUUAACAUAAGUAGUUUUGUAGAUAUUGCUGGUGAACUCGGCAAAAGGGCUUUCAACUGUUUAUCAAAAACAUAGCCCAGUGAUAAUACAUUGGGUGAUUUCUGCUCAAUGAGAUAUUAAAUAGCCGCAGUACCCUGACUGUGCAAAGGUAGCGAAAUCAAUUGGCUUCUAAUUAAAGUCCUGCAUGAAAGAAUAUAUGGGGGCCCACUAUACAGCUAUAUAUAAUGAAUUUACUUAGUGAGUGCAAAUUCUCAUAAAAAAAUAAUAGACGAGAAGACCCUAGAAAUUUUAACAAAUGUUUUUGUUGGGGCAACAUAGUAGCAGUUAACCUACUUUAAGUAUAUGAAAUAAAUUAGAUAAAUUAAAUUACUCUAGGGAUAACAGCAUAAUCUAAUAAGGUUUGUGACCUCGAUGUUGGACUAGGGAAUCGUAGUUUAG